rnacentral:rRNA from 1 species
CCUACGGGAGGCAGCAGUAGGGAAUCUUUCACAAUGGGCGAAAGCCUGAUGGAGCAACGCCGCGUGCAGGAUGAAGGCCUUCGGGUUGUAAACUGCUUUUAUAAGCGAGAAAUAUGAUGGUAACUUAUGAAUAAGGAUCGGCUAACUACGUGCCAGCAGCCGCGGUCAUACGUAGGAUCCGAGCAUUAUCCGGAGUGACUGGAUGUAAAGAGUUGCGUAGGUGGCAUAAUAAGUAGCUAGUGAAAUCUGGUGGCUCAACCAUUCAGACUAUUAGCUAAACUGUUAAGCUCGAGACCGUUAGGGGUAACUGGAAUUUCUAGUGUAGGAGUGAAAUCCGUAGAUAUUAGAAGGAACACCAAUAGCGUAGGCAGGUUGCUGGGACGGUUCUGACACUAAGGCACGAAAGCGUAGGGAGCAAACGGGAUUAGAUACCCCUGUAGUC